rnacentral:tRNA from 1 species
GUUUCUGUGGCGCAAUUGGUUAGCGCGUUCGGUUGUUAACCGGAAGGUUGGUGGUUCAAGCCCACCCAGGGACG